rnacentral:snRNA from 1 species
AUACUUCCCUGACAGGGGACAUACCAUGAUCACAAAGGUAGUUUUCCCAGGGCAAGGUUUAUCUAUUGAACUCCAGAUGUUCUGACCCCUGCGAUUUCCCCAAAUGUGGAAAACUUGACUGCAUAAUUUGUGGUAGUAGAGGACUGCAUAUGCACUCUCCUA